rnacentral:rRNA from 1 species
GUAGGUGGCAAGCGUUGUCCGGAAUUAUUGGGCGUAAAGCGCGCGCAGGGCGGUCCUUUAAGUCUGAUGUGAAAGCCCACGGCUCAACCGUGGAGGGUCAUUGGAAACUGGGGGACUUGAGUACAGAAGAGGAAAGCGGAAUUCCAAGUGUAGCGGUGAAAUGUGUAGAGAUUUGGAGGAACACCAGUGGCGAAGGCGGCUUUCUGGUCUGUAACUGACGCUGAGGCGCGAAAGCGUGGGGAGCAAACAGGAUUAGAUACCCUGGUAGUCCACGCCGUAAACGAUGAGUGCUAAGUGUUAGGGGGUUUCCGCCCCUUAGUGCUGCAGCUAACGCAUUAAGCACUCCGCCUGGGGAGUACGGCCGCAAGGCUG